rnacentral:piRNA from 1 species
UCCAGGAGCGUGACACUGGUGAUCGC